ensembl:lncRNA
GUUUUUAUCUCUUCUUCAAGCAGCUGUAAAAUCUUUCUUGUAAUAGCUGAAUUUCACAGGAGCGUCUUAGGGAAGCAUAUCAGGCCUCAUGAGAACGCCUCUUAUUUUCCUGCUCCUGUAUGUGGGAGCGAUGGCUUUCGGCACCUUGUGUUCAGUGGUGCAGAGUCAAACCUGUGGAACGAGUGCUGGGCUUACAGCAGAACAAUGCACUGAUUUGGACGGUCCCACGCGGAACUUCCUGACAUGUGCUGGCGUCCCAUCAGAGCCUAAUGCAGACCACAUCCUUCACCUGAAGGGACUCAUCAGCGCCGCUCUGGAUGUCUACUCCUUCAUGCGCUCCAGUGUGGCCGGUGUGCCGGUCAUGGAUCUAUCGGGAGGCAUCAGUAUGAACGAGGAUCACGUGAUCAGAGCGUGGCUGGACAUCAAACUCACUCCUCUGCUGUCGUCCAUCUCCAGAAACUUCCUCACAUGCCUCAGCAACAGAAACUUCAGCUGCAGCGCCUAUCAGAUAGUUGUAAAGGAGUUGAGUCAGCAUUUCUCCGGUCUGGAUCCAGUGCGACAGAAGUGGAUCUAUUCUUUCUUCAUGUACCCGUUUCUCUCUAGAAAUACAUCCUCAGGUUGUGUAGAUCCAGAGGACAGUACUGAGGACUGGCUCAUGAAGAACUUCGGAUUGUUCUCGGUCAUGGCUCAAGUGCGAGACUUCACAUCCAUCAACAUGUUUUUCAGCGGGCUGGAGGUUUUGCACCUCUUGAGUCCAGAACAGAAGGCAGAGCUACUCCUUCAUCCGGAGGAGGUGGGCUUGACAGACAGCUCCCUCGGCCUGGUGUUUCAGAGUUUGCUUUCUACUAUGUUGCCCUCUGAGGAUCCAUGGCCUUCAAACAAUGGCACAGCAUAUUAUAUGAGCACCGUUCCAUCUGCCUCACCUCAGGACCCUCUUGGAAAGGCGCUGAAUGGAUUCAUGACGGCAUUUAGUCCUGUCAGGAGUUUUGUUAGACAGUUUGUGUCCUUGACGAAGCAGCAAAACUUUAGCAGCAUGCGGAGCACCACUUUGGUGCAGGCCAUGAUCAACCUGACGCUCGCUGAGCUUGCUGCGCCAUUCAAGCAGAAUUCCAGCCAACAGCCGGUCACUUUUGACCCCAUGAAUGUUAACGACUGGUUCACGCAUGUGGUUUCUCCCAUACUCCGGCGAUUCCUUCCUCCCGGCCAGAUAGAAAUCCACCCCAACCUCACGGCUGUCUUCCAUAACCAGUUCUACAUUGAGACGGGGAUGGGAACUGGAGCCCAGAAUGAAAGUCAGGACAUCUGCAGCGUCUUUAUUGAUAAUAGAACUUGUGGGCUGACGGACCUGGUGGAAAAUGUGGCCACUGUCCUGCACUGCGCAGCACGCUCAAACCUCACGCUCAACGAGGAGACGCUCUCAAGUGUCCUCCUGCAUCUCUCCCAGAACCUUAACGCUCUACUGCAGCAGCUCUCUAUGACCAACUUCAGUUCCCAGAUUUCCCCCUUCAGUGACAUCCUGGACCAAAUGGUUCAUGACACCUUCACAAUGAGCAACUUGCAGGACGAGUCGUUUGUGAGAUUAUGGUUCCAGAUCAAGUUAAAGCCUCUUCUCUCCACACUGACUCCAGAAUAUCUCACUUGCCUCAGUCACAAAGAGUUCAGCUGCCAGACCUUCCAGAUACUUGUUUCAGAACUCAGUGAUAACACGCUCCUGGUGUCAGAAGAAGGUGUGCAGGAUGUUUAUCAGUAUUUCAUUAGACCCUUCCUGAGCCGACAAAAUGUUUCAGGUGGCUGCCCUGCAGAGAACAGCAGCAUCUGGAUUACUCUGAAUUUUGGUGGAUUUUCACAGUUUGCCACAUUGAGGGAAAUGUACCAGCUGAACCAAGACUUCAACGCUAUUGAUGCACUGGUGGUUCUCUCCCCCAGACAGACAGCUGAACUCAUAGUUGAGGAUUUUGCAGGUCUGCCAGAGAAAAGUGUUAUCAUAAACAUAGUUUUUGAUCAUAUCCUUGCUUCUCCUGAAGACCGUGGACUGCUUGAGAUGCUUGGAUAUCUCAUCAUGCUCGCUGGCCAGAUGGGUUUGGAGUGCUCAUCAUACCAGCAGAUGGUUCAGAGGCUGCAGGAGUCUGUGGUUCCUCCACACAUGAUGGAAACCAUCAAGAACUACACAAGUCAUCUGGAACAGAUGGCACCUCCUGGCUGUUUUCCUUCACCUGUUACG